GAUGAAGAACGUAGCGAAAUGCGAUAAGUAGUGUGAAUUGCAGAAUUCAGUGCAUCAUCGAAUCUUUGAACGCACAUUGCGCCCCUUGGUAUUCCAUGGGGCAUGCCUGUUCGAGCGUCAUUUGUACCUUCAAGCUUUGCUUGGUGUUGGGUGUUUGUCUCGCCUUUGCGUGUAGACUCGCCUUAAAAUAAUUGGCAGCCGGCGUAUUGAUUUCGGAGCGCAGUAUAUCUCGCGCUUUGCACUCAUAACGACAGCGUCCAAAAGUACAUUUUACACUCUUGACCUCGGAUCAGGUAGGGAUACCCGCUGAACUUAAGCAUAUCAAUAAGCGGAGGA
rnacentral:misc_RNA from 1 species